GAGGUGGGAGGAUUGCUGGAGCCCGGGAAGUUGAGGCUGCAGUGAGCCGUGAUCGUGUCACUGCACUCCAGCCUGAGUGACAGAGCAAGACCCUGUCUCA
ensembl:miRNA